rnacentral:snoRNA from 1 species
UUUCCGAGGAAGAAAAACCCUUUGUUCGCCAAAGGAAGCGUUUUCUCGGAAUAUAGUGGCUGUGCUGUAAUUGGGCAGCGGCCAGACAACCGUAGAGAUGGUAUCCACAGAUUAUGGGUUUUUCUUUCUCUCAUUCUCUACUGAUUCCAUCCCACAUUU